GUGUGAGGCUGCAGAUGGAGAGAGUCUUCUUCUAAUCGAGGUUCAUUCUCUUCCUCUGGAUCUACUGUCUUACUGUGACAUGGCAGCUGUGCCAUAGUUGCCAUGAAUGGACUGGCUCCCAUGUGGCUCUGGAUCUGCUGUGAUAGCUGCUGUUGUGGAGAGGCGUGAAGCUGCUGCUGGAAUGAGAUUGGCUGGAGAGUGGUGAAACUGGCCCCGACAUUGUUUAUAACAGCAGCAUGUUGAAGUCUCAGGUUACCGAUGAGAAGUGAAGACUCUCCCAGACUCAUCACACUGGGCAGGGAGGCCAUGAUGAGCCCCUGGGAGGAUGCAGAGGAGGCAGAGAGGCUAUGUAGCGAGGUCAGAGUGCUUACUGGAGGCAGUGUGCCACCGCUGGACACCUGAACCAGAGGACAACACGGUGCUCACUGAGGCAGCAGUGUAUGCAGCGGAUAACAACACUGUGAGGAUACGGGACACAUGCUCUCACCAGCUUGGGAUUAUGGGUCUCGAGGAGUGUGUGGCUGGGCUCCAGUUGGAUGGGACUUGCCAGGCGUCCUACUCUUUCCCCUCCGCUGCUUCUGGCUGAGCUCAGGGUGUCACAACAAAACCAGCGUGGAAGAGGAUCUGCAGGGAUGCUGGACCCCAUUUGAACCUGUUCCUGCGUCCUUUCCUGGUUUCCUCCCCUUGGUCAUCCACAGAUAAAACUGAUAUGUGAAAGCAGAAACAUGAAUAUGGAACUCCACAGCUGCUGUUAUACUCACGUUGGCUAAUCUCGCACUGCCUCUUGACAUACCAGGUGUACAGAGCAGCCCUCUUCUG